GAGUUUGAUCGUGGCUCAGAUUGAACGCUGGCGGCAUGCCUUACACAUGCAAGUCGAACGGCAGCACGGGAGCUUGCUCCUGGUGGCGAGUGGCGAACGGGUGAGUAAUGCAUCGGAACGUAUCCUGGAGUGGGGGAUAACGUAGCGAAAGUUACGCUAAUACCGCAUAUUCUGUGAGCAGGAAAGCGGGGGACCUUCGGGCCUCGCGCUCUUGGAGCGGCCGAUGUCGGAUUAGCUAGUUGGUGAGGUAAAGGCUCACCAAGGCGACGAUCCGUAGCAGGUCUGAGAGGAUGAUCUGCCACACUGGAACUGAGACACGGUCCAGACUCCUACGGGAGGCAGCAGUGGGGAAUUUUGGACAAUGGGGGCAACCCGUGAUCCUAGCCAUGCCGCGUGAGUGAAGAAGG
rnacentral:rRNA from 1 species